GACGGAGGGUGCAAACGUUGUUCGGAAUUACUGGGCGUAAAGGGUUCGUAGGUGGCUUGUUAAGUCAGACGUGAAAUCCCUCGGCUCAACCGGGGAACUGCGUCUGAGACUGAUGAGCUCGAGUGCAGGAGAGGAACGCGGAAUUCCAGGUGUAGCGGUGAAAUGCGUAGAUAUCUGGAGGAACACCGGUGGCGAAGGCGGCGUUCUGGACUGCAACUGACACUGAGGAACGAAAGCCAGGGGAGCAAACGGG
rnacentral:rRNA from 1 species